rnacentral:sRNA from 1 species
AAUAUUGAAUAGUUCGACGGUUAGAAAAUCACUU